GCCACCUUAGCUCAGAGGUAGAGCAGGGCUUUCGUAAAGCCAAGGUCCUGGGUUCAAAUCCCAGAGGUGGCU
rnacentral:tRNA from 1 species